rnacentral:rRNA from 1 species
ACGCUGGCGGCGUGCCUAAUACAUGCAAGUCGAACGGCUUUUCUAUGGAAGCUUGCUUCCACUGAGAAGAUAGUGGCGAACGGGUGAGUAACACGUGGGUAACCUGCCCAUAAGAGGGGGAUAACAUCCGGAAACGGGUGCUAAUACCGCAUAGUUUUCUUGAUCGCAUGAUUGAGAAAGGAAAGACGGCCUUUGUGCUGUCGCUUAUGGAUGGACCCGCGGCGUAUUAGUUAGUUGGUGAAGUAACGGCUCACCAAGACGAUGAUACGUAGCCGACCUGAGAGGGUGAUCGGCCACAUUGGGACUGAGACACGGCCCAAACUCCUACGGGAGGCAGCAGUAGGGAAUCUUCCGCAAUGGACGAAAGUCUGACGGAGCAACGCCGCGUGAGUGAAGAAGGUUUUUCCGGAUCGUAAAACUCUGUUGCCAGAGAAGAACAAGUUGGAGAGUAACUGCUCCAGCCUUGACGGUAUCUGACCAGAAAGCCACGGCUAACUACGUGCCAGCAGCAGC